rnacentral:misc_RNA from 1 species
GAGAGAGGGAGGGAGGGAGGGAGGAGAGUAAUUGAUAAAGACCUCCUGCAGAGGGAGCUUGUAUUAGUUAUCCAAUUAUAGAAAAAAAUAUUGGCUGGAGACAGUUGUGUUUGUCUCGUUAUCUUAAAUUGCCAUAUAAUGCAAAUUAUGUGUUCUGAAACUAGGUCAUCUGAAUUUUCAAUAUGCAGAUUGUUUGCAAACUAUAAAUUGCUUAUUGUUGUUGUCUUUUUUUUCCCUGUCAUUUGUGAGAGUCCAUACCUGUGGCAUGUGCUAAGUUCCCUCUUGCUGCAGUUUAUUUAAACCAGCUUAAAUUGCUUGCUUGGUGUUUCAUUUUUUCUUCCUGCGUGCAUCUUGUUUGUAUUGAACUGUGUCAAGUUGUGCUUUAUCUUGAUUAUUGGCACUUUUAGGAGCAUGCCAACAUCAGCUGCCCUUGAUGUUGUGGCCAAGCAUCUGAAUUUGAAAUUUUUUGAGGUAUUCUAGUUCACAAAAUCUUUUAUUAUUCUUCCCUGCUGUUGGCAUUCAAGCCUCAAGGCAUUUAAUUUGGUUAUUUACUGUUCAAUGCCAGGUCCCCACUGGCUGGAAGUUUUUUGGCAAUUUGAUGGAUGCAGGAUUGUGUUCAAUUUGUGGGGAAGAAAGUUUUGGAACAGGCUCAGACCAUAUACGUGAGAAAGAUGGCAUAUGGGCGGUUCUGGCUUGGCUAUCUAUACUGGC